UGCAGUCGAGCGGAAGGCCCCUUCGGGGGUACUCGAGCGGCGAACGGGUGAGUAACACGUGAGCAACCUGCCCCUGACUCUGGGAUAAGCCCGGGAAACUGGGUCUAAUACCGGAUAUGACGCACUCUCGCAUGGGAUGUGUGUGGAAAGUUUUUCGGUUGGGGAUGGGCUCGCGGCCUAUCAGCUUGUUGGUGGGGUGAUGGCCUACCAAGGCGACGACGGGUAACCGGCCUGAGAGGGCGACCGGUCACACUGGGACUGAGACACGGCCCAGACUCCUACGGGAGGCAGCAGUGGGGAAUAUUGCGCAAUGGGCGGAAGCCUGACGCAGCGACGCCGCGUGGGGGAUGACGGCCUUCGGGUUGUAAACCUCUUUCAGCAGGGACGAAGCUAACGUGACGGUACCUGCAGAAGAAGCGCCGGCUAACUACGUGCCAGCAGCCGCGGUAAUACGUAGGGCGCAAGCGUUGUCCGGAAUUAUUGGGCGUAAAGAGCUCGUAGGCGGUUUGUCGCGUCUGUCGUGAAAGCCCACGGCUUAACUGUGGGUCUGCGGUGGAUACGGGCAGACUAGAGGCAGGUAGGGGAGAAUGGAAUUCCCGGUGUAGCGGUGAAAUGCGCAGAUAUCGGGAGGAACACCGGUGGCGAAGGCGGUUCUCUGGGCCUGUACUGACGCUGAGGAGCGAAAGCGUGGGGAGCGAACAGGAUUAGAUACCCUGGUAGUCCACGCCGUAAACGUUGGGCGCUAGGUGUGGGGUUCUUCCACGGAUUCCGCGCCGUAGCUAACGCAUUAAGCGCCCCGCCUGGGGAGUACGGCCGCAAGGCUAAAACUCAAAGGAAUUGAC
rnacentral:rRNA from 1 species